rnacentral:rRNA from 1 species
GACGAACGCUGGCGGCGUGCUUAACACAUGCAAGUCGAACGGUGAAGCGCCUUCCUUUUUGGUGGGUGUGGAUGAGUGGCGAACGGGUGAGUAACACGUGAGUAACCUGCCCCCUUCUCCUGGAUAACCGCAUGAAAGUGUGGCUAAUACGGGAUAUUCUGGGUCUGUCGCAUGAUGGGUCUGGGAAAGAUAUUGUUUCGGUGGGGGAUGGGCUCGCGGCCUAUCAGCUUGUUGGUGGGGUGAUGGCCUACCAAGGCGGUGACGGGUAGCCGGCCUGAGAGGGUGGACGGUCACACUGGGACUGAGACACGGCCCAGACUCCUACGGGAGGCAGCAGUGGGGAAUAUUGCACAAUGGGCGCAAGCCUGAUGCAGCGACGCCGCGUGAGGGAUGGAGGCCUUCGGGUUGUGAACCUCUCUCGCCAGUGAAGCAGGCCUGCCUCGUUUGUGGGUGGGUUGACGGUAGCUGGAUAAGAAGCGCCGGCUAACUACGUG